rnacentral:rRNA from 1 species
AGUGGCGAAAGGGUGAGGAAUAGAUAGGAACGUGCCUUUGGCUUCGGAAUAGCGUCCCGAAAGGGGCGGUAAUACCGGAUAACGUCUACGGACCAAAGAUUUAUCGGCCUUAGAGCGGCCUAUCUCCUAUCAGCUUGUUGGUGGGGUAAUGGCCUACCAAGGCAACGACGGGUAGCGGGACUGAGAGGUUGGCCCGCCACAUCGGGACUGAGACACUGCCCGGACCUCCACGGAGGGCUGCAGUAACGAAUAUUGGGCAAUGGGCGAAAGCCUGACCCAGCAAUGCCGCGUGUAGGAUGAAGCCCCUCGGGGUGUAAACUACUGUCAGGGGUUAGAAAGCUACGGUUGAUCAACCCCAGAGGAAGUCACGGCUAACUUCGUGCCAGCAGCCGCGGUAAUACGAAGGUGGCGAGCGUUAUUCGGAAUUACUGGGCUUAAAGCGCACGCAGGCGGAAUAUUUAGCGUCUUGUGAAAUCCCCCGGCUUAACCGGGGAAUUGCAGGGCGAACUGGUAUUCUUGAGGCAAGUAGGGGUGCAUGGAACUCUUGGUGGAGCGGUGGAAUGCGUAGAUAUCAAGAGGAACGCCGAUGGUGAAGACAGUGCACUGGGCUUGUCCUGACGCUGAGGUGCGAAAGCGUGGGGAGCGAACGGGAUUAGAUACCCCGGUAGUCCACGCCGUAAACGAUGCCUACUAGGUCGUGGUUGUUCUGACACACUCACGGCCGAAGCAAAAGUGUUUAGUAGGCCGCCUGGGGAGUACGGUCGCAAGGCUAAAACUCAAAGGAAUUGACGGGGGCUCAACACAAGCGGUGGAGCAUGUGGAUUAAUUCGAAGCAACGCGCAGAACCUUACCUGGGUUUGACAUGUAUGGAUGCCUGCUGUGAAAACAGUUAGGUUGCCUUCGGGUGAAACUUACACAGGUGCUGCAUGGCUGUCGUCAGCUCGUGUCGUGAGAUGUCGGGUUAAGUCGCUUUAACGGGAGCGGAAAACCCUUGCCGUUAGUUGCCACGGUCAUGCCGGGGACUCUAACGGGACUGCCGGUGUCAAACCGGAGGAAGGUGGGGAUGACGUCAAGUCUCAUGGCCUUUAUGCCCAGGCUCACACGUGUACAAUGGGUGCUACAGAGCGACGCGAGACC